rnacentral:rRNA from 1 species
AAUUGAAGAGUUUGAUCCUGGCUCAGAUUGAACGCUGGCGGCAUGGCUAAAACAUGCAAGUCGAACGAUUAAAGCUUCUUCGGAAGUGCAUAAAGUGGCGUAAGGGCGAGGAAUAUAUUUCUAUGUACCCCUAAGUCAAGGAUAGCCCAGGGAAACUUGGAGUAAUACUUGAUGUGGUCUCCGGAUCAAAGAUUUAUCGCUUAGGGAGCAGGGAAUAUCCUAUCAGGUUGUUGGUGAGGUAACGGCUCACCAAGCCAAAGACGGGUAGCGGGUGUGAGAGCAUGACCCGCCGCAUCGGAACUGAGACACUGUCCGGACUCCUACGGGAGGCUGCAGUAACGAAUAUUCCGCAAUGAGCGAAAGCUUGACGGAGCAAUGCCGCGUGUAGGAUGAAUCUCUUCGGAGUGUAAACUACUGUCAGAGACUAGGAACUCAAUGACCAAUCUCAAAGGAAGGGCCGGCUAACUUCGUGCCAGCAGCCGCGGUAAUACGAAGGGCCCGAGCGUUAUUCGGAAUCACUGGGCUUAAAGCGUACGUAGGCUGGUAUAUAGGCGUCUUGUGAAAUCCCUCGGCUCAACCGAGGAACUGCAAGGCGAACCAUAUAUCUUGAGACAGACAGAGGUCGUCGGAACGAUUGGUGGAGUGGUGAAAUGCGUUGAUAUCAAUCGGAACGCCGAAGGAGAAGUCAGGCGACUGGGUCUGUUCUGACGCUGAGGUACGAAAGCGUGGGUAGCGAACGGGAUUAGAUACCCCGGUAGUCCACGCCGUAAACAAUGUGCACUAGGUCGAGGGCGUUCUGACGCGACUCUCGGCCGAAGCGAAAGCAUUAAGUGCACCGCCUGGGGAGUACGGUCGCAAGGCUAAAACUCAAAGGAAUUGUCGGGGGCUCACACAAGCGGUGGAGCAUGUGGCUUAAUUCGAGGCAACGCGUAGAACCUUAUCCUAGAUUUGACAUGUAU